UCAACUCAAAUUAUUUCAUACUGUUUCAACAUUCCUGUUUAUGUGAAAGCAUGUGAUGAAUUGUUGCUGCAUCAGAGAUAAGAGAGAUUCUUUUUCAUUAGGUUUUCUAAGAGACUUCAGAACCAUUCCCUGGAGUGAAUUAUUUCCAAUGGUGAAGAGUAAUGGAUGGAUGGCAUGAGAUUCUCAAAAAAAUCUUGCUCCUAUUUCAGAAGUGUCACUCCAGCCCCUUGAAGGUCCAGGAAACCUGGCUGAGUAGUGUGGUCUAUGGAGGUGCAUGGGCUUCAGAAUCAGGCCAACGUUGAUCCUGAGUCCCAGCCAGCUGCUUAGUAGCUGUGGGAUAGUUAUACAAGACACAUCUGCAAGAAAAGUCAUGAUAAAAUUGAUUGCAAAAACAGCAAUUUGAAAAUUUUCUUAUUGUAUUCAUGUCCUUGGAAAUGGCUUUUAUAGUCAUUCCUAUCAAGAGACAGAUUCUGUUUCCCAAACCUUGAACCUCUCUUGACUUAUCUGCACUGGCACAGGGUGCCAGUUUGGGGCCCAGGUUUAAAGGUCCUAAAUGCUUCUGUUAUCUUUUUCAGAAUUCUUCCAUCUCUAUGACAACAAGCCCAUUUUAGCUUUCUGGAGAAUAGCAUCUGAGAAAAGCCAAAGUGCCUCAAUUUACAGACAGCUCACUCACAGAAGCAGAGCCACCUAAUUCACCAGCAUCUAACCACUCACACCUGAAGGAGCCAAACUGAGCCCAGAAGAAUGGCCCGGCUGAGCCCAGCCUAAAUUUCUAACCAGCUCAAUCCUGAGCUAGUAUGUUUCGGGAUUGUUAUGCAGUUAUAAGUUAGUAAUAUAUACACCCAUUAAAGACAGGAUCUCAGGACAGAUUGAUUACAAAUAACCUGCAAAUGCUUGGCACCCUG
rnacentral:lncRNA from 1 species